ensembl:lncRNA
UCGAGUUAGAUGCAGACCUCUGGCUGUUGUCCAGAGGACUUAGGAAGAUGGGAAGUAUGGAUAGUCCUGUCCUAUACCCAGUGCUGAGCCUUUCUCCAAGGGACCUGUUUCUUUUCCUGGCACAUACAAAGAAAGAAGAGGGUGGCAAACUCUUCCAUAUGUUCCAGUAUUCCAUGACUCUCGUUGAUUUUUAGUGCCUUCAGGGAGCGCAAAUUGUGAGUUUACUUUGGGAGGUUUGUAGAAUUGCAUAUCCCUCAUGAGCUCGGCAGUUAUCUUGCAAUUUGGUUGUAUGUGACUUGCGUGAUGUCCUCCUCACUGCAGUGACACAAGUAGUCCUUGGAUCCUACUGGCAGGGACUCAUCUUUGUCAACAACUUGAUACUGGAAAGGCUUGAGUCUUCCUGGGGUCCUGAAGCAACAGGUUCAGAGUACCUGCCGUAUCUAG